ensembl:lncRNA
GGGAGAAACGCCUUUAUUUGGGGAUCCAUUGAAUGUUGUGGGGCGCUGUGGGGCACAGCGCUCUAUGGGGCAGCCCCACACAUCGCUAUGGGGCAGCCCCACACAUCAUUAUGGGGCACAGCGCUCUAUGGGGCAGCCCCACACAUCGUUACGGGGCACAGCGCUCUAUGGGGCAGCCCCACACAUCGUUACGGGGCACAGCGCUCUAUGGGGCAGCCCCACACAUCGUUACGGGGCACAGCGCUCUAUGGGGCAGCCCCACACGUCGCUAUGGGGCACAGCACUCUAUGGGGCAGCCCCACACGUCGCUAUGGGGCAGAGUGCUCUAUGGGGCGGCCCCACACGUCGCUAUGGGGCACAGCACGCUAUGGGGCAGCCCCACACCACGCUGUGGGGCACAGCACGCUAUGGGGCAGCCCCACACGUCGCUGUGGGGCACAGCGCUCUAUGGGGCAGAGCACUCUAUGGGGCAGCGCCACACGUUGCUAUGGGGCAGAGCACGCUAUGGGGCAGCCCCACACGUGGCUAUGGGGCACAGCGCUCUAUGGGGCAGCCCCACACGUCGCUAUGGGGCACAGCACGCUAUGGGGCAGAGCACUCUAUGGGGCACAGCACUCUACGGGGCAGCCCCACGCAUCGCUAUUGGGCAGAGCACACUAUGGGGCAGCCCCACACGUUGCUAUGGGGCACAGCACGCUAUGGGGCAGCCCCACACGUCGCUAUGGGGCACAGUGCUCUAUGGGGCAGCCCCAUAUGUCACUAUGGGGCACAGUGCUCUAUGGGGCAGCCCCACACAUCUCUAUAGGGCACAGCACCCUAUGGGGCAGCCCCACACAUCGCUUUGGGGCACAGCACUCUAUGGGGCAGCCCCACACGUCACUAUGGGGCAGAGCACGCUAUGGGGCAGCCCCACACGUCGCUAUGGGGCAGAGCACGCUAUGGGGCAGCCCCACACGUCGCUAUGGGGCAGAGCACUCCAUGGGGCAGUCCCACACGUCGCUAUGGGGCAGAGCACUCCAUGGGGCAGUCCCACACGUCGCUAUGGGGCAGAGCACUCCAUGGGGCAGUCCCACACAUCGCUAUGGGGCACAGCGCUCUAUGGGGCACUCUAUGGGGCAGCCCCGCACAUCGCUAUGGGGCAGGGCACGCUAUGGGGCAGCCCCACACGUCGCUAUGGGGCAGAGCACUCCAUGGGGCAGUCCCACACGUCGCUAUGGGGCACUCUAUGGGGCAGCCCCACAUGUCGCUGUGGAGCACAGCACGCUAUGGGGCAGCCCCACACAUCGCUAUGGGGCAGAGCACCCUAUGGGGCAGUGCCACACAUCGCUAUGGGGCAGCCCCACACCUCUCGUCUUCGUUGCCGUCCAUUGGCAGACCCUACAAAGAGAAAGCAGAGCUGUGAGCCCCCACCCCACAGACCCCAUUUGGGGGGGGUCCUCACCCCCCCCCACGGCCCUAUGGGGGUCCCUAUGGGGGGGGCUGCAACCCCAUAUCUCUAUAUGGGAUUGUAAGGGGGGGGUGGGACUCAAUGGGGUCCCUAUAGGGGUCCAAUUAUGGGGGGGGGUCCACACCUCCAUCUCCCUAUGGGGGCUUU